GCCCGUUUAGCUCAGUGGUAGAGCGCGCCACUCGUAAGAACUUAAAAAGCGUCAAGUCGAUGGUGAGGUCGGUUGUUCAAUCCAGCCAAUGGGCA